CCGGCAUGCGCUGAAUCACGCCGGCGCAAUUAUUCACUGACCGCUUUGCUGUAAUUUUCGGGAGGAGAGGAGACGUUUGCCAUCAGUGUAUCCAAGAAAGUAAUCGGAUGGUCUCGGAUGUUAAUGCAAUGGAGCAGCAAUUGGCAGACCCUACCUUCCAGAAACAAGUGAAACACUGAAUGACCAAAAAAGCACCACCAC